rnacentral:rRNA from 1 species
GAGUUUGAUUCUGGCUCAGAUUGAACGCUGGCGGCAUGCCUUACACAUGCAAGUCGAACGGCAACGGGCCCUUCGGGGUGCCGGCAAGUGGCGAACGGGUGAGUAACACAUCGGAACGUACCCUGUGGUGGGGGAUAACCCGUCGAAAGACGGGCUAAUACCGCAUAAGCUCUGCGGAGGAAAGCGGGGGACCGUCAAGGCCUCGCGCCACAGGAGCGGCCGAUGUCCGAUUAGCUAGUUGGUAGGGUAAAGGCUUACCAAGGCGACGAUCGGUAGCGGGUCUGAGAGGACGGCCCGCCACACUGGGACUGAGACACGGCCCAGACUCCUACGGGAGGCAGCAGUGGGGAAUCUUGGACAAUGGGGGAAACCCUGAUCCAGCAAUGCCGCGUGGGUGAAGAAGGCCUUCGGGUUGUAAAGCCCUUUUAGCGGGGAAGAAAUCGGCUAGGUGAAUAAUCUAGCUGGAUGACGGUACCUGCAGAAAAAGCACCGGCUAGCUACGUGCCAGCAGCCGCGGUAAUACGUAGGGUGCGAGCGUUAAUCGGAUUUACUGGGCGUAAAGCGUGCGCAGGCGGUCCGCUA